rnacentral:rRNA from 1 species
GACAGAGACUGCAAGCGUUAUUCGGAUUCACUGGGCGUAAAGGGUGCGCAGGCGGUUGUGUGUGUCAGGGGUGAAAGCCCGGGGCUUAACCCCGGAAUUGCGCCUGAAACUACAUGACUAGAGCAUUGGAGAGGGUAGCGGAAUUCACGGUGUAGCAGUGAAAUGCGUAGAUAUCGCUUGGAACGCCAAAGGUGAAAACAGGUUGCUGGGGUUGUGCCGACGCUGAGACACGAAAGCCAGGGGAGCAAACGGG